GAUGAACGCUGGCGGCGUGCCUAAUACAUGCAAGUCGAGCGAACGGACGAGAAGCUUGCUUCUCUGAUGUUAGCGGCGGACGGGUGAGUAACACGUGGAUAACCUACCUAUAAGACUGGGAUAACUUCGGGAAACCGUAGCUAAUACCGGAUAAUAUUUUGAACCGCAUGGUUCAAAAGUGAAAGACGGUCUUGCUGUCACUUAUAGAUGGAUCCGCGCUGCAUUAGCUAGUUGGUAAGGUAACGGCUUACCAAGGCAACGAUGCAUAGCCGACCUGAGAGGGUGAUCGGCCACACUGGAACUGAGACACGGUCCAGACUCCUACGGGAGGCAGCAGUAGGGAAUCUUCCGCAAUGGGCGAAAGCCUGACGGAGCAACGCCGCGUGAGUGAUGAAGGUCUUCGGAUCGUAAAACUCUGUUAUUAGGGAAGAACAUAUGUGUAAGUAACUGUGCACAUCUUGACGGUACCUAAUCAGAAAGCCACGGCUAACUACGUGCCAGCAGCCGCGGUAAUACGUAGGUGGCAAGCGUUAUCCGGAAUUAUUGGGCGUAAAGCGCGCGUAGGCGGUUUUUUAGUCUGAUGUGAAAGCCCACGGCUCAACCGUGGAGGGUCAUUGGAAACUGGAAAACUUGAGUGCAGAAGAGGAAAGUGGAAUUCCAUGUGUAGCGGUGAAAUGCGCAGAGAUAUGGAGGAACACCAGUGGCGAAGGCGACUUUCUGGUCUGUAACUGACGCUGAUGUGCGAAAGCGUGGGGAUCAAACAGGAUUAGAUACCCUGGUAGUCCACGCCGUAAACGAUGAGUGCUAAGUGUUAGGGGGUUUCCGCCCCUUAGUGCUGCAGCUAACGCAUUAAGCACUCCGCCUGGGGAGUACGACCGCAAGGUUGAAACUCAAAGGAAUUGACGGGGACCCGCACAAGCGGUGGAGCAUGUGGUUUAAUUCGAAGCAACGCGAAGAACCUUACCAAAUCUUGACAUCCUUUGACAACUCUAGAGAUAGAGCCUUCCCCUUCGGGGGACAAAGUGACAGGUGGUGCAUGGUUGUCGUCAGCUCGUGUCGUGAGAUGUUGGGUUAAGUCCCGCAACGAGCGCAACCCUUAAGCUUAGUUGCCAUCAUUAAGUUGGGCACUCUAAGUUGACUGCCGGUGACAAACCGGAGGAAGGUGGGGAUGACGUCAAAUCAUCAUGCCCCUUAUGAUUUGGGCUACACACGUGCUACAAUGGACAAUACAAAGGGCAGCGAAACCGCGAGGUCAAGCAAAUCCCAUAAAGUUGUUCUCAGUUCGGAUUGUAGUCUGCAACUCGACUACAUGAAGCUGGAAUCGCUAGUAACCGUAGAUCAGCAUGCUACGGUGAAUACGUUCCCGGGUCU
rnacentral:rRNA from 1 species